UGAUGAAGUCUGCAGUAGCCAAAAUAUUUAGACGAUUUACCGCGGCAUGUCUGCAAAUCCCAACGAGAAGUGACGUACGAGCGCAUAUUCGUGGACGUUUUUAGGCGCCUCAGACGUCUCAUCCGCCGGUUCGUCUCCAGCAACGAUUCAGUUUCUAUCAGUUGAAUUUGCCAGAUUACGAUGUCACGUACUUAUCAUAUUAUCACUACCAAUUGACAAGAACAAGAUCAACUUGAUUGAGAAUUCGAAUAUCGGAUCUGGCGGAUUCAAGAUGAAUUCUCGGAAGAGAAGAAAAGGAAGGAGGAGAUAAAAGACGUAAACGCUUCUCCGAGAAAGCAUUUCUGGAACUUCUUGCGAAAAUUCAUGGGAAAGAUAUAAAAGCUUCGUUCAAAGUGAUUCAUACUCUUAAAAGCGUUGAAAACUUCCUCCACCCACUAUCCACAAACUAGUUUGAAUUAGACGAAAGCGAGUUUUUUUAAAUAGCUUUAUCAUUACACAUGCUUUCCGUUCAUUACGUAUGUUGAACUUGUAUGAAAGUAUUCUUAAAUAUAAUAUACAAAGCAUCACUAAAGCUGUUAUGGGCUAUUAUUUCUAAAACUAAUCGAAGUAUGAAAUUUUUAUUUUUCUAUCAAUUAUUUGGUAUUGAAAAUAACAUCAUAUGAUAAAGUUAGAUUCUUUUUUAAGUAAAGUGACUGCGACGAUCUGAAGUUCACCUCGUUUUUUGAAUGAAAUUUUGUUUUCAAAGCGUACUUGCUCCAAUUAUUCUGCAUAUAAAAAUAUUAAGGUAGAAAUAUCUAUCAAAAAAUCAAUAAUUUACAUAAUAUUUUAUACUUUAUUUUGACAUAAAAUAUAAAAUAUUUCAUAUUUUAUAUUUAUAGUUUUUUUGAUACUCUUACUUUAGUUCUUUUAUGCACGGAAUUAAAGAGAUGAAUCAAUUGGUGUAAAAAAAAACAUGCAGUUGUUUUUGUAAAAAAACAUGCUUUCAAUACAGUGAUUCACCUUAUGUACAUAAAUAUAAAAAAAUGUGAGGUUUUGUGCAAAAAUGAAGUAAUAAACAAUAAAUAAUAAUAAAUAAAAAAAAGUAAACGAGGAUAAAUGAAUGGAUAUCUAACAUAAAAGAUUGUGUUAGACUAGAUAGAAAUAAAGAGAAAAAAAACUGUAUAUAUGACGAUAUACAUUUGGUAGAUUUUAGUUAAUCAAAUAAUUAUAGGAUGGAUGCAAGUGUACGUAAGUAGACUUAUAAACUUAAUCCCUUCUUCAUAUAUACACUAAAAUAAAUUAUUCUACAUA